rnacentral:miRNA from 1 species
UCGAAUCUUCAAGGUGAA